GUUGGAUGUUUUGGCCUGCCCAUUGUCUUGAGGAUAUCUCGGUGUGGACAUGUGAUGCUUGAUGCCAUACUUUUGGAAGAACUUUGCCAAAUCUUUGCCCACGAAUUGCUAGCCAUUGUCGGUGACGAUGGACUGAUGGAUGCCAAAUCGGUAAAUGAUGUUCCUCCAUAUGAAGCAUUCUAUGUCCGCUUGAGUUGUGGUUG
rnacentral:lncRNA from 1 species